rnacentral:pre_miRNA from 15 species
CCGAUCGGGUGGAUUGGGCGAGUCUAGGGCUGGGUCUUUGCGGGCGAGAUGAGAGGUUUGUGGAUUCAACUGGCCUACAAAGUCCCAGUUCUCGGCUCCCAGGACCUGCAGUGCCAUAG